rnacentral:rRNA from 1 species
AUUGAACGCUGGCGGCAGGCUUAACACAUGCAAGUCGGGCGGGGUGAUGGUGCUUGCACUAUCACUUAGCGGCGGACGGGUGAGUAAUGCUUAGGAAUCUGCCUAUUAGUGGGGGACAACAUCUCGAAAGGGAUGCUAAUACCGCAUACGUCCUACGGGAGAAAGCAGGGGAUCACUUGUGACCUUGCGCUAAUAGAUGAGCCUAAGUCGGCUUAGCUAGUUGGUAGGGUAAAGGCCUACCAAGGCGACGAUUUGUAGCGGGUCUGUGAGGAUGAUCCGCCACACUGGGACUGCGACACGGCCCAGACUCCUACGGGAGGCAGCAGUGGGGAAUAUUGGACAAUGGGGGGAACCCUGAUCCAGCCAUGCCGCGUGUGUGAAGAAGGCCUUAUGGUUGUAAAGCACUUUAAGCGAGGAGGAGGCUCUUUUGGUUAAUACCCAAGAUGAGUGGACGUUACUAGUAGAAUAAGCACCGGCUAACUCUGUGCCAGCCGCCGCCGUAA